GGGUGACGAAGCGACGCCGCGUGGGUGAGGAAGGCCCUCGGGUUGUAAAGCCCUGUCAGGAGUUAAGAAAUGUAAGUGCGCUAAUAUCGCAUUUAUUUGACGAAGGCUCCAAAGGAAGCCACGGCUAACUCUGUGCCAGCAGCCGCGGUAAUACAGAGGUGGCAAGCGUUGUUCGGAAUCAUUGGGCGUAAAGAGCACGUAGGUGGGUUUGUAAGUCAGAUGUGAAAGCCUUCUGUUCAACGGAAGAAUUGCAUCUGAAACUACAAGUCUUGAGUGUAGGAGGGGAGAAUGGAACUUCUGGUGGAGCGGUGAAAUGCGUAGAUAUCAGAAGGAACGCCGGCGGCGAAAGCGAUUCUCUGGCCUAUUACUGACACUCAGUGUGCGAAAGCUAGGGGAGCAAACGGGAUUAGAUACCCCGGUAGUCCUAGCCGUAAACGAUGGGCACUAAGUAGAGG
rnacentral:rRNA from 1 species